GACGUAGGGGGCCAGCGUUGUUCGGAAUUACUGGGUGUAAAGGGUUCGUAGGCGGUGCGGCAGGUUGGGAGUGAAAUCUCUGGGCUUAACCCAGAGGCUGCUUCCAAAACUGCUGUGCUUGAGUGUGGGAGAGGCGCGUGGAAUUGCAGGUGUAGCGGUGAAAUGCGUAGAUAUCUGCAGGAACACCCGUGGCGAAAGCGGCGCGCUGGACCACUACUGACGCUGAGGAACGAAAGCUAAGGGAGCAAACAGG
rnacentral:rRNA from 1 species